AGAGUUUGAUCCUGGCUCAGGAUGAACGCUGGCGGUGCGCCUAACACAUGCAAGUCGAACGAAGGAUUGUGAAGGAACUUUACGGAGGGAAAACACAAUGACUGAGUGGCGGACGGGUGAGUAACGCGUAGGGAACCUGGCCCUUACAGGGGGAUAACAGAUGGAAACAACUGCUAAUACCGCAUAAGCGCCCAGCCUCGCAUGAGGCAGAGUGAAAAACUAAGGUGGUAAGGGAUGGCCCUGCGUCCGAUUAGCUAGUUGGUAUGGUAACGGCAUACCAAGGCGACGAUCGGUAGCCGGCCUGAGAGGGUGGACGGCCACAUUGGGACUGAGACACGGCCCAAACUCCUACGGGAGGCAGCAGUGGGGGAUAUUGCACAAUGGGGGAAACCCUGAUGCAGCGACACCGCGUGGGUGAAGAAGCGCUUCGGCGUGUAAAGCCCUAUCAGUGGGGAAGAAAAAGGACGGUACCCAAAGAAGAAGCACCGGCUAAAUACGUGCCAGCAGCCGCGGUAAUACGUAUGGUGCAAGCGUUAUCCGGAAUGACUGGGUGUAAAGGGAGCGUAGACGGUUGUACAAGUCUGAUGUGAAAGCCCACGGCUCAACUGUGGGAGUGCAUUGGAAACUGUAGAACUAGAGUAUCGGAGAGGCAAGUGGAAUUCCUAGUGUAGCGGUGAAAUGCGUAGAUAUUAGGAGGAACACCAGUGGCGAAGGCGGCUUACUGGACUGUAACUGACGUUGAGGCU
rnacentral:rRNA from 1 species